rnacentral:misc_RNA from 1 species
AAAAAUUGUUGUGCGAGGCGGCCACCAGGCAAUGCCAGGUGGCCGUUUAGACAUCAACACCCUCUGUAUAUCUACCGUGUUGCUUUGGCGGGACGGCAGCCAAGCUGUCCGCAGGGCCUGUAAGGGCCCGGCGAGUGCCCGCCAGAGAACCACCAAACUCAUGUUAAACCGUGAUGUCUGAGCUUUACAAGCAAUAAGUUA